UCACUGCAAAACUGAAGCCCAAAUAUCUUAACAAACUCUAGCAAAGCCUGCUACUUAGAAAAAGGAUGGAUGACCUUCAACAGCUUGUCGUGCUCUAUAGCUGCUUCUCUAGCACUCCAAGCAGCCCAAUAAGAACCACAUAAGAUUGUACCAACAGCCAUCAUCCACAAAAAUACUUCUGCAAUGUCCACGACAGGUCGUCUUGGAGAGUAGAGUAUCAGCCACAAAAAUACUUCUGCAAUGUCCACGACAGGUCGUCUUGGAGAGUAGAGUUGCACAGUAACUAAAUGAAAGAGCAAAAUAUUUGGAAAAAGAAAUUGUAAGUGAAAGACCACCAGAAUUUCAAAUUCAUAAACAAAGUAAUGAAAGCCUUUUGAAAAUUCUGUUCAAUGAACUUAGUUGUUUGCUUAUCUAAGAUACCUCAAACAUUUUAUAAGCAUUGGGAAAAAAAAUCCAUCGUUUUAAGCUAGAUUUAUCACAAAACAUAAUUAGAAUCUAAGGUCUCCCCUCUGUAUG
rnacentral:lncRNA from 1 species